CAGGAUUUCAGAGGAAUAUAUUUACAAGGAGUGGCUAAAUAGGAAAGACAGCACUUUGUUGUAUAAAUCUGUGAGGUUUAAUAUAGCACAGAAAAAUGGUGGACCACAAGACCCACUACAUGGCCAUACUCGUGAGGUUAUUAAGAAGAUUAUGGGGAAAAGAUAAAGACUGGGGCAAUGCCUUUUGAAACCUACGGGCGCUAACUGGUUUGAAACAUCCAACAUACUCACUCACUAAGUCUGUGUUGUAAAUUGCAUCAUGGGAGAGAGCUGGCUGAUUAGCCAACUACCAUCACGUCACACAGGACUGGGACAAUGCUGGCAAGCAAAUUCAGUUAAGAGUGUAUGCACAAAGGUAUGUAUAUCUA
ensembl:lncRNA